UGAAUGGAUUCCUUGAACUUGAAAAUUGAAUAAGAGAUUUGAAUAAGAUUCUAAAUCGGUUAUGACUUGAAAUGCCUCUAUUUUGAGAUGAUGACUUGAGAAGUGAGAUUCGGCUCCAAGCUAUGAUUGAUGAUUCGGUAAUAUGCCAUGAUUUGUAUUUUGUUUGUGUUUGGGCCUGUAUGGGCAAGCUGUGCUAGUCCAGAGGAUGAUUAGCCAUUAUGGAUCCUAACGUAUCAAUACGAUUAUUGUUGUGUCAAUCCAGAGGAUGAUUGACCCCCGUUGCUUCCUAGCCGGAGUAUCUAUUGUUGUGUCAGUCCAGAGGAUGAUUGACCUCCGUUGCUUCCUAGCCAGAAGUAUCUAUUGUUGUGUUAGUCCAGAGGAUGAUUAACCUCCGUGGUUUCCUAACCCGGAGUAUCGACUGAUUGAUUUGCCUAUGAGUGGCUUGUUUUGUAUCUUUGUUUCCUGUGAGUGGCUUGUGGAAACCUUGAGUUCAUAAAUGAAACACAGAAUGAUGUGAACGGUAACAUAAGUGGAACUUGAUAUAUUCCUGUAUGUUGACUCUUAUUGGUGUUUUCCAUAGUUUACUGGCUUACUUAUUCUCUGGA